ensembl:lncRNA
UGAACUGUCGCUGACAAACAUUGACUGAAUCAUUCAUGAGCAAACGAGUCAGUGAUCCAGUCUCAGUCCUAAGAUUAUGAGAGGAUAACAACUUAAUUAUUGCAGUCUCUUCAUUUUAUUUAACUAUAAAACAUACGAGUAUGUAAUUUUUGCCCACCGUAGCCUACUCACGUGGCUUUAUUAGGCGUUGCUGGCGUUGAACGAGAGAGAACGGGACGCUCGCGGAAGUGUGUGAUCGUUUAUUGGGCGUCACGGCACCCGUAUGGCACAUCCUACACUGAUUUAAAUGUCGUCAAACUAUUACUCCAGUGCUAUCGUCAUCUGGCCCUUAUUUGUCCUGUAAGCUGAGCGUUCACUCCUCCUUGGCCAUGUGUUACCUGACAGGAGUUUGGUUUCACUGAGUGUUGUGGUGAAUGGGUAAACCCCUACAGUUUUGCAUUCCAGUCAUAGUUCUGAAUGUAUGUUUGUCAGUUUUCACAUGGAAAAUGAGCUUCAGCAUGUCUGUUCCUGCCAGUGAUGAUGGUGGUGUGUCUCGCCAUCUGAUUGCAUGUGCCGAUAUAAUAUGCAAAUAUGGUAGAUGUGUGCUGGUGGACUUGAAGCCCACCUGUGAGUGUAAGCUGGGCUACAUUGGAGACACCUGUAACGAAACAAUCAAUGACGCUCUGUCUGUGCCGCUCACCCUCGGCGUCCUGGCUUUCAUCAUUGGCUUUAUCAUCCUGCUCUUUGGGAUGGCUUUUUUCCAGCAAAGGCAAAAGGCGAAGAAGAGAAAAAAGGCAGCUGAAGAAGCCCUGUUAAGAAAUGGAGCACAUCUUUAACAUGUUUUAAUGCAGCGUGCCAUAAAAUAGUACCAUCAACACAUGAACAUAAACUUUCCACCAUGACACUUAAAUGUGCAUGAAUAGCCUAGAUAUAUUCAUCUCAUGUUAUACUGGUGUGCAUAUGUAGCACUGAAUGCACUCAGCAUUAACUGAAAACUUUUGUAUAUGAAAUACGUGAAGUCCGCAGCACAUUUGAAUGAUUCUAGAGCAUGACUUGGGUUGGCGUACCUGCAGGGGAGAUACAUGCAAACCACGUUAAACAUGCAUUGACUGGUUCCUGAAACAUGCCAGGUAUUUCAGUGCUGUUUUUCCGCUGUUAUAUUUAGCUCAGUCCUGACUGGUGAGUUUGAAUAACUGAAAGCUGACUAGUUUCAUGGACUGAUCAGCCACAGACAAGUAUCUUUUUCAAGCAUUUAUGGAAAACAGUCACGCCAUUUUUUUAUGGGUUUUGGUUGUUUACUUUUACUUUUGGAGUUUCACAACAACUCUGCAUUCAACCUUUUUUUAUUUAGUUUAGUAGAGGCCUCAUUCAACUGUCUGUACAGUAUUUUUGAAUAAAGAUAUUUGUUUUUUUGUCAUAUUUCAGACUGAAUAUCUGAUUCAGUGCACACAAUUAAGGGCGAUAUGUUUCCACAUGAAAAGGACUUUUCAUCUGACAUUUCCUAAUUAAGGCAUCUUUAUCCAUGUAAAUUAAUUUCACAUUAGUUUGCUAUAUACUUUUGUUUUAAUGCCCCU